rnacentral:misc_RNA from 1 species
GACGAACCGUGCGAACGUUGUUCGGAAUCACUGGGCUUAAAGGGCGCGUAGGCGGCUGAUCAAGUCCGGGGUGAAAUCCUGCAGCUUAACUGUAGAAGUGCCUUGGAUACUGGUCAGCUCGAGGGAGGUAGGGGUCUGUGGAACUGCUGGUGGAGCGGUGAAAUGCGUUGAUAUCAGCAGGAACGCCGGUGGCGAAAGCGACGGACUGGAUCUCUUCUGACGCUGAGGCGCGAAAGCUAGGGGAGCAAACGGG